rnacentral:rRNA from 1 species
GAUGAACGCUGGCGGCGUGCUUAACACAUGCAAGUCGAACGAUGAUGCCCAGCUUGCUGGGUGGAUUAGUGGCGAACGGGUGAGUAACACGUGAGUAACCUGCCCUUGACUCUGGGAUAAGCCUGGGAAACUGGGUCUAAUACCGGAUACGACCAUCUGGCGCAUGUCAUGGUGGUGGAAAGCUUUUGUGGUUUUGGAUGGACUCGCGGCCUAUCAGCUUGUUGGUGGGGUAAUGGCCUACCAAGGCGACGACGGGUAGCCGGCCUGAGAGGGUGACCGGCCACACUGGGACUGAGACACGGCCCAGACUCCUACGGGAGGCAGCAGUGGGGAAUAUUGCACAAUGGGCGCAAGCCUGAUGCAGCGACGCCGCGUGUGGGAUGACGGCCUUCGGGUUGUAAACCUCUUUCAGUAGGGAAGAAGCGAAAGUGACGGUACCUGCAGAAGAAGCGCCGGCUAACUACGUG